rnacentral:tRNA from 2 species
CCCCUUAUGGUGAAACUGGAUAUCACAAACCCCUCCUAAGGGUUAAUUUUAGGUUCGAGUCCUAAUAAGGGGGCCA